rnacentral:rRNA from 1 species
AUUGAACGCUAGCGGGAUGCUUUACACAUGCAAGUCGACCGGCGUGGCGGACGGGUGAGUAAUAUAUCGGAACGUUCCCAGUAGCGAGGGAUAACUCCUCGAAAGAGUGGCUCAUACCCCAUCCUAUUUUAGCUGCCGACAUCGGAUUAGCUAGUUGGUGGGGUAAAGGCUCACCAAGGCAACGAUCCGUAGCUGGUUUGAGAGGACGACCAGCCACAAUGGGACUGAGACACGGCCCAGACUCCUACGGGAGGCAGCAGUGGGGAAUGUUGGACAAGGGGGGAAACCCUGAUCCAGCCAUCCCGCGUGUAUGAUGAAGGCCUUCGGGUUGUAAAGUACUUUUGGCAGAGAAGCGGUAUCUGCAGAAGAAGCACCGGCUAACUACGUGCCAGCAGCCGCGGUAAUAC